UACAGAGGUGGCAAGCGUUGUUCGGAAUUACUGGGCGUAAAGGGCGCGUAGGCGGCCUUCUAAGUCGAACGUGAAAUCCCCGGGCUCAACCCGGGAACUGCGUCCGAUACUGGAAGGCUUGAAUCCGGGAGAGGGAUGUGGAAUUCCAGGUGUAGCGGUGAAAUGCGUAGAUAUCUGGAGGAACACCGGUGGCGAAGGCGACAUCCUGGACCGGUAUUGACGCUGAGGCGCGAAAGCCAGGGGAGCAAACGGG
rnacentral:rRNA from 1 species